ensembl:snRNA U4 U4 spliceosomal RNA
AUUCUUGUGCAGAGACAAUUUCAUAGUCUAUGAAGUUCUACUGAGACGUGAUUAUUGCUGGUUGAAAACUUUAACCAAUUCCGCCUGGAUGAUUUGAAACAGUCAGCUAUGGCAAUUUUGCUAGUCUCUCAGGAGA